rnacentral:lncRNA from 1 species
CGAAAAUUUGUUCAAACUCCGAUCAGUAGAGUAGUCCACUUUCGCCGGAGAUGGCAGCGAGAAAGAGGAGAUUAUCUCGAUCAGGCGUUGUUGUUUUCAGGGACCCUUGAUAAAGAUCGGGCGGCGGCUGUUGCUUCGGAACUGUGAAGUUGGGGAUGAUGAUCAGCUGGUCAUCACGUCUAAUCUACCGGCUGAUUCAUCGUCGUCGUCGUCUGUCACGGAUGAGCUAAUUCAUCCCCCUCGGAGUUACUAGCAGUUAGUGAGUCUGAGGCUUCCUUCUUCCUCUGCUGUGUCAAUCAACGAGUGGAACCUUGAUGCGUGGGAGGUAAAUGGACUAAAUAAGUUCUUUAUGCAGUUGUUUGAUGGAAUGUAGUUGCUAAAAGAUGGAUUCAGAAGGACUUGUGAAAUUCUUCACCUGCUAAUAUUACUAGAAUAGGCCAACGAAGAUGAUUUUGCAUUUGUCAGAAACCUUCUGAAAACUGGUCCAAGAUGAAUCAAUUUGAGUGGGGUUUUCCUUGAUCUGUGAAAGUGAAGUCUGCCGGAUCAUUUAAUCAUAAUUUGUCUUAGCGGAGCAAAGGGAUGUUCUUAUAUAAAGAAAGAAAACGAGGAGGAGAAAGAAAUCAAGCAGCUAUUCAACCUUUCUGGCAAGAAAAUCUUCUAGUCUUCAGCUCCUCAUUACAUAAGGCAUGGGGCAUGGCAGGCUUCUUGCCGCUCACAUCCUGUUGCUGCUGCUUCUUCACUCAUGUCAUUCUUCUAGCGAGCCUCAAGGUAAUUAAUUUGACACUAUACAUAGAGUAGUUUCCAUGACUUUGAACUGAUGAAUUCGAGUCGUUGUAUUUGCAGGAGCGAAAUUUCCUUACAUGACUUCAAAUUUCAAUGAGGUAGCAGGGGAGUCGUUCGACUACAUCGUGG